CUUGGUUCAAUUAGAGGAAGUAAAAGUCGUAACAAGGUCUCCGUUGGUGAACCAGCGGAGGGAUCAUUACCGAGUUUACAACUCCCAAACCCAAUGUGAACGUUACCAAACUGUUGCCUCGGCGGGGUCACGCCCCGGGUGCGUCGCAGCCCCGGAACCAGGCGCCCGCCGGAGGAACCAACCAAACUCUUUCUGUAGUCCCCUCGCGGACGUAUUUCUUUACAGCUCUGAGCAAAAAUUCAAAAUGAAUCAAAACUUUCAACAACGGAUCUCUUGGUUCUGGCAUCGAUGAAGAACGCAGCGAAAUGCGAUAAGUAAUGUGAAUUGCAGAAUUCAGUGAAUCAUCGAAUCUUUGAACGCACAUUGCGCCCGCCAGUAUUCUGGCGGGCAUGCCUGUCCGAGCGUCAUUUCAACCCUCGAACCCCUCCGGGGGAUCGGCGUUGGGGAUCGGGACCCCUCACACGGGUGCCGGCCCCUAAAUACAGUGGCGGUCUCGCCGCAGCCUCUCCUGCGCAGUAGUUUGCACAACUCGCACCGGGAGCGCGGCGCGUCCACGUCCGUAAAACACCCAACUUUCUGAAAUGUUGACCUCGGAUCAGGUAGGAAUACCCGCUGAACUUAAGCAUAUCAAUAAGCGGAGGA
rnacentral:rRNA from 1 species